GUGCCUGGAGGGCGAUUUCUGCUUCCCUCACGGCGAGUGCCUCAACACUGACGGCUCCUUUGCCUGUACUUGUGCCCCUGGCUACCGACCCGGACCCCGCGGAGCCUCUUGCCUCGACGUUGACGAGUGCAGCGAGGAGGACCUUUGCCAGAGCGGCAUCUGUACCAACACCGACGGCUCCUUCGAGUGCAUCUGUCCUCCGGGACACCGCGCCGGCCCGGACCUCGCCUCCUGCCUCGACGUGGACGAAUGUCGCGAGCGAGGCCCAGCCCUGUGCGGGUCGCAGCGCUGUGAGAACUCUCCCGGCUCCUACCGCUGUGUCCGGGACUGCGAUCCUGGGUACCACGCGGGCCCCGAGGGCACCUGUGACGAUGUGGACGAAUGCCGGAACCGGUCCUUCUGCGGUGCCCACGCCGUGUGCCAGAACCUGCCCGGCUCCUUCCAGUGCCUCUGUGACCAGGGUUACGAGGGGGCACGGGAUGGGCGUCACUGCGUGGAUGUGAACGAGUGUGAAACACUACAGGGUG
rnacentral:sRNA from 1 species